GUUCAUACCAAUUAGAUCAGUCAUAUGAUGAUUGAUUAGAUGAGACCUAAACUUAAACCUUCCUACAAAUAUUAAGUCUAUAGAUCUUCCACUAUUGUAGAUGUGCGGACGUGCUACUGGUGUUGAUUGUUCUCGGCUGAUUAUAGUGGUUCAGUAGCAUCAAAAACACACAACCACUCUAUUAGCAAAGAGUUGCUCCA
rnacentral:lncRNA from 1 species